rnacentral:lncRNA from 1 species
AACAAUAUACCUACACCAUAAUAAGAUAUAUAAUAUAUCUACAAGAGUAUAUAAUAUACCUCUACCACAGGAUGAACAAAAAUAAAAAAUAAAAAGAAGAAGAAGAAUAAUAAUAAUAAUAAUAGAUCUACAUUAUAAAAUACAAAAAAGGAAUGUAAUCCUAUUUGGUAGAAAAGUCAAAGGACUUGUAUCAACGACAACAAAUAUAAGAAUUAAACUCAACUUAUGUUCUUAAUUUUGGACUUAUCCCAAAAUUUCUUUAAAAAAAACUAAGAAUUUCAAACAAGGGGAGAUUGAAGACACCUGCCAGAAUAAAACGGAGCAAAUAGAAAAUGAUAACGUGCAUAUAUUCAUUGCCACAUCAAUGCGAUAUAUAUGCCUGUAGAUUACAAGAGAAAAAGCUCCUCUCCACUACAUACGCCUAGUAAUUUAACUCCCUAUCCUAGCGAAAAACACAAAAGAAAAAAAAAAUCCAAACAACACAAAGAAAAUUCUCACCAGCAGCCACUUGUCUAAUUACGCUUAAUGAAAACAUAGAAUAUACAUGCGAAAUUUACCACGACUCAUACGGUACAAAUUACAUACAUAAGUGCGUAUUACAAACUCAAGAAAGGCGCCUGUAGUUCAUGAGUUCAUUAAGCCAUCUCCAGUUAUAGGGCUAAAAAUUUAGCUCUCUAAUAUAUUAAUUUUUUAAAGAAUAGGGUAGGCUUAAAUUUUUCCAUCUCCAGCCAUGCAUGACUAUAUUUUAGGGCCCUUCGUAUUUUAUUAUUUUGAGAAAAAUAUGUUAC